CCUACGGGAGGCAGCAGUGGGGAAUCUUGCGCAAUGGGCGAAAGCCUGACGCAGCCAUGCCGCGUGAAUGAUGAAGGUCUUAGGAUUGUAAAAAUUCUUUCACCGGGGACGAUAAUGACGGUACCCGGAGAAGAAGCCCCGGCUAACUUCGUGCCAGCAGCCGCGGUAAUACGAAGGGGGCUAGCAUUGCUCGGAAUUACUGGGCGUAAAGGGAGCGUAGGCGGAUAGUUUAGUCAGAGGUGAAAGCCCAGGGCUCAACCUUGGAAUUGCCUUUGAUACUGGCUAUCUUGAGUACGGAAGAGGUAUGUGGAACUCCGAGUGUAGAGGUGAAAUUCGUAGAUAUUCGGAAGAACACCAGUGGCGAAGGCGACAUACUGGUCCGUUACUGACGCUGAGGCUCGAAAGCGUGGGGAGCAAACAGGAUUAGAUACCCUGGUAGUCCACGCUGUAAACGAUGAGUGCUAGUUGUCGGCAUGCAUGCAUGUCGGUGACGCAGCUAACGCACUAAGCACUCCGCCUGGGGAGUACGGUCGCAAGAUUAAAACUCAAAGGAAUUGACGG
rnacentral:rRNA from 1 species